AUUGAACGCUAGCGGGAUGCUUUACACAUGCAAGUCGAACGGAGUGGCGGACGGGUGAGAAAUAUAUCGGAACGUGCACAAUAGCGGGGGAUAACUACGCAAAAGAGGGGCUAAUACCGUCUACUAUUGGAGCGGCCGAUCAAGGAUUAGCUAGUUGGUGGGGUAAAGGCUCACCAAGGCAACGAUCCUGAGCUGGUUUGAGAGGACGACCAGCCACACUGGGACUGAGACACGGCCCAGACUCCUACGGGAGGCAGCAGUGGGGAAUUUUGGACAAUGGGGGAAACCCUGAUCCAGCCAUCCCGCGUGUAUGAUGAAGGCCUUCGGGUUGUAAAGUACUUUUGGCAGAGAAGCGGUAUCUGCAGAAUAAGCACCGGCUAACUACGUGCCAGCAGCCGCGGUAAUAC
rnacentral:rRNA from 1 species